UAGAAAUUGGAAAUCAAAAUUAAAAACCAUCUUCAGAGUCUGUAACCUCAGAGAGAACUCCCAGUUUCAGCGAUUUGAAGGAUGAUAGAGGGCUACUGUGAAGACUUUGUUGAUAAAGAGAAUAUGCCCAAAAUACUUUUAAACGCGCAAUUAUGACUGACCAUGCUUUUACAGUACUUUAAAACUAACAGGGUUUAUUUGUUUCCAGGUGGCCAUGGAACGGCGUCACGGGCUGCUGCAGAUGGUUUCAACAGUCCUGAUGGAUGCCCUUCAUCUGUGCCUGCAAGAGGAACCCCAGGCUUCAUGUAUGGCCUUGCUGUGAUCUAGUAUGAUGCUCUACUCUUCCACUGAACUCUACUUGCUCUAGCUGAGGAGCUUGGCUAUAGUUUAGCCUUUUAUUUUUAUAUUAAGCUGUUGUUGAGGAAGGAGCUUUGACAAUAGAAGUGACCAAGCAGCAGGUCCAUUUCCACUGUCGAAGGCAGCUGGAAACUCAUCUCUAUGGAUAGAAAUACAAGCCCCUCCACACUCUGUUCCUGGCUGCUUCAUUCGUUUUUCCAGAACUGCACAUCACUGAGAAUCACCUCCUGUGCUCAUCUUCCAGACCUGUAGCCUGCGGUACCUGCUCUAUCAGAAUGUACUCUGCUAACCACAU